GCUGUCUUAUAGGAGACAUUCAGUGGCUUCAACCUGCUCUGUGCAGUCAGAGCCCUGCCCUUCAGACACUAAGGUUGUUUUAUUUUUAGUUUCAGAAGAAUCCCUGCUUUCAGAGGAACUUCAAGUUAUAUUUGUCUGUGUGUGUCCAAAGACAGAUUAAAUGAUUCCAGUGGACAUACUGCUCUGAUUAUGAGCUACAUCCAACCCCUGGCAGCAUGCACCAUUGCUUUGGGAAAUAUGUCACAGCAAUUAUAUCCUUAUUCCUCUUGAGCUUCUUCCUCCAUGAGAAAAUCCAAAAUGCUGGAUAUAAACUUCUGUUGAAGGAAAAGGAGGACAUAGCUUCGCAAAUAGCUGUCAAACAAAUCAACUCUGAAAGCAAGAACCAUCUGCGAACCUUCAAGGAGAUGCAGAGAGACUUCCCUCUUCUCCAGCAUGCCAGCUACCAAUUCCUGGCUAGAGCCCCUCCCCAGGAAAAGAGACUGCUGACCGUGGGGAUUGCCUCAAUGCAGCAUCCUCGUGGGAGCUACCUCUUGGACAUCCUGUAGUCCGUGUUCCAAGCUUCCUCAGAACAUGAGCUGGAGUAUAUCAUGGUGCUGGUCCACCCGUCAGGUCCUGACCCUGAAUGGCUUGGCCAAACAGCUGCCAAUAUUUCAGGUCUCUUCACAGCACAGACUGGGGCCGGGAAGCUGCUGGUGAUCCAUGGUAGCUCCCCUCUCCCAGGAGAUCUGAGUGACGUUAAUCACUCGUCACCCUGUGAAGCCCUCUGUUCCAGACAGAAAGUAGAUCAUGCCCUCCUCAUGAACUUCGCUAGCAACCUCUCUGAUUACUUUCUAUUGGUGGAAGAUCAUAUUGAUUGCACCCCUAAAUUUGUUGCUGCUGUCUCUUCAGCAUUAUUAGCCUGGAAAGAACUAUGUUGGGUGAUCCUGGAGUUCUCCCACCUGAGCAUCUCUGGGAAAGUUUUCCACACCAGUGACCUCUCUCGCCUGACCACUUUCUUGUUCCUCUUCCAUAAGGACACUCGUACUCACUUGCUUCUGUCAAAUUUUGGUUUCCUCUUGGGCCAGACAGUUUCAAUUAGCCUCGCUCCCAGUCUCUUCCACUCUAGGGACUAUAAUUUUACUUCCAAGGACACAUGUUACCAAAAGGAGAAAGUAAAGGAAGAGAAUCUUGGUGAGCCAAACAAUCCUCCUGCCCUCAUUUAUACUAACAUAGUAAUGAAAAGCUUUCAUCAGCCAGAAUAUGCCUAUUCACUGAAGGAAAAAUACCUCCAGACUAAGUAUCUCAUUCUAGGCCACUCAUAUACUGCGGUUUUCAGUCAGAUUCACAAGGUGAUCCAGAUAGUUUCUGACAGGCAUUGGUAAGCAGGCAAUAUAUUGCCUGCAACAUGGGCAGGUAGAACUGGGCUAUGAGCCUGUUCUGGAGGGAAAAGUCUGUGCCCACUAUACCCUGCUGGGACCACUGAUAAAGGGGAAAUUCAAUCAGAAGGUAUACAGUGAAGACUUUGUGGGGACAGUGAGAUGCGUACGACUGCUGGUAACAGGCUCUCAGGAGUCCACAGUGUGGAUUAGACAGAUCAACAUCUGGACUAAGUCUGAGAAAGGAUAGGGAUAAAAGGGUCAAUGUGAAUUCUGGAAGGAUCAGGUUUGGGGAUGUACUCAACACAGAUGAUAAGAAAUUAAAGCUUUGAAUUCAGUCAUGAGUACCAUGUUUAUAGUCAUUCCAGGGUACUCAAUAUAAAUGAUAUAUCUUAUAAGAGGCAGAAAGAGAAUUGGGUCCUUCUGACCCCCAAGAGCCAGAGAGAUGAAAGUAUUCACCAAGAUCUUCCCCAGUUUUCUCUCUACAUGGAUCUCUUAUCCUAGGAUCUUUCCCUGAGGUAGGUAUCAUUUAUGGAAUAUUGAGAAUGGCCUGAAAUGUGACUUGAAGGUAGAACUGGCUUUUGCCUUCAUGCACGGUCCAGUCUUCCAAAAUUCCAAACAUCGGACCUCACCAAGAGUCCAAACAUGGACUUUCAGCUGUCUGUGAAUUCCCAAGAAGUCGAUGCAGCCUUUGCAUGUUUUCGUAUUUACAUUUUCCUACAGCAAAGAUCCAUAACUUUCAUCAGUGUUCCAUAUGCCCAAACAAAAGCAUAAAAAUUACUAAAUUGGUAGAUACGGUUUCUUGAUGGAAAUAAGCAAUUUAUUACCUAAGGACAUGAAACCAUCCAGUUAGCAUUUUUAGUUUAAGAAUUGAGGGCCAAGCAUGGUGACUCAUGCCUGUAAUCCAGCACUUUGGGAGGCAUAGGCAGGCGGAUUGCUUGAGCUCAGGAAUUCAAGACCAGCCUGGGCAACAUGACAAAACCCCAUCUCUACAAAAAAAAUACAAAAAUUAGCCAGGUGUGGUGGCAUCUGCCUAUAGUCCCAGCUAUUCAGGAGGCUGAGGUGGAAGAAUUGCUUGAGCCCAGGGAGGUUGAGGCUGCACUGGAGCCCUGAUCAUGCCACUGCACUCUAGGGCAACAGAGAGAGACUCUGUCUCAAAAAAAAAAAAAAAAAAGAAAAGAAUUCAGAGCAUAUAUAAAUUCAUUCCUUCAUAUAUUUAUUCUGGGGUAUGGCUUUUGUGAGUUCUUUUUGUUGGGCCUUAUUUAAAAGGUAGUAAAGAUUCUACAAACUUCCCUCUUAGUACUGCUUUUACUGUAUCUCAUAGAUUUUUGGUAUGUUGUAUUCCAUCUUCAUUUGUUUCAAUAAUUUUUAAAAUUUUCUUCUUAACUUCUUCAUUGAUCCAUUGGUCAUUCAGGAGCAGGUUGUUUAAUUUCCAUGUGUUUGUGAAGUUUCUGAGGUCCUCUUGUUGAUUUCUAAUUUUAUUCCAUUGUAGUCAGAAAACAUACUUGACAUAAUUUCUACACUUUUUUGAAUUUGUUCAGAUUUGUUUUGUGGUCCAAGAUAUGGUUUAUUCUAGAGAAUGUUCCAUGUUUUGAUGAAAAGAAUGUGUAUCCUGCAGCAGUUAGGUGAAAUGUUCUAUAAAUGUCAGUUAGACCUAGUAGGUCUGAUGUGUAGAUUAACUCUAGUGUUUCUUUGUUAAUUUUCUAUCUGGACAAUCUGUCCAUUACUGAGAGUGGAGUGUUAAAGUCCCCUACUAUUACUGUAUUGUAGUCUAUCUCUCCCUUUAAAUCUACUAAUGUUUGCUUUAUAUACUUGAAAGUUCCAGUGUUGGGUACACAGAUAUUUAUAAUUGUUAUAUUCUCUUGCUGAACUGACCCCUUUAUCAUUAUAUAGUGAGGAGGCUGAGGCAAGAGAAUUGCUUGAACCUGGGAGGUGGAGAUUGCAGUGAGCCAAGAUCAUGCCACUGCACUCCAACCUGGGCAACAGAGUGAGACUC